CAGUCGCCGCGGUAAAACGUAGGGUGCAAGCGUUAAUCGGAAUUACUGGGCGUAAAGCGUGCGCAGGCGGUUUGUUAAGACAGGUGUGAAAUCCCCGGGCUCAACCUGGGAACUGCAUUUGUGACUGGCAAGCUAGAGUGUGGCAGAGGGGGGUGGAAUUCCGCGUGUAGCAGUGAAAUGCGUGGAUAUGCGGAGGAACACCGAUGGCGAAGGCAAUCCCCUGGACCUGUACUGACGCUCAUGCACGAAAGCGUGGGGAGCAAACAGGAUUAGAUACCCCAGUAGUCCCUGUCUCUUAUAC
rnacentral:rRNA from 1 species